rnacentral:rRNA from 1 species
GACGAACGCUGGCGGCGUGCUUAACACAUGCAAGUCGAGCGGUAAGGCCCUUUCGGGGGUACACGAGCGGCGAACGGGUGAGUAACACGUGGGUGACCUGCCCUCAGCUCUGGGAUAAGCCUGGGAAACCGGGUCUAAUACCGGAUAUGACUCCAUGACGCAUGUUGUGGGGUGGAAAGCCUUGUGCGGCUGAGGAUGGGCCCGCGGCCUAUCAGCUUGUUGGUGGGGUGAUGGCCUACCAAGGCGACGACGGGUAGCCGGCCUGAGAGGGCGACCGGCCACACUGGGACUGAGACACGGCCCAGACUCCUACGGGAGGCAGCAGUGGGGAACCUUGCGCAAGUGGCGAAAGCCUGACGCAGCGACGCCGCGUGAGGAUGACGG